UCCUACGGGAGGCAGCAGUAGGGAAUCUUCCGCAAUGGACGAAAGUCUGACGGAGCAACGCCGCGUGAGCGAAGAAGGCCUUCGGGUCGUAAAGCUCUGUUGUAAGGGAAGAACAAGUGCCAUUUAACUGAUGGCACCUUGACGGUACCUUAUGAGAAAGCCACGGCUAACUACGUGCCAGCAGCCGCGGUAAUACGUAGGUGGCAAGCGUUGUCCGGAUUUAUUGGGCGUAAAGCGCGCGCAGGCGGUCCUUUAAGUCUGAUGUGAAAGCCCACGGCUCAACCGUGGAGGGUCAUUGGAAACUGGGGGACUUGAGUGCAUAAGAGGAAAGUGGAAUUCCACGUGUAGCGGUGAAAUGCGUAGAGAUGUGGAGGAACACCAGUGGCGAAGUCGACUUUCUGGUCUGUAACUGACGCUGAGGCGCGAAAGCGUGGGGAGCAAACAGGAUUAGAUGCCCUGGUAGUCCACGCCGUAAACGAUGAGUGCUAAGUGUUAGGGGGUUUCCGCCCCUUAGUGCUGCAGCUAACGCAUUAAGCACUCCGCCUGGGGAGUACGGCCGCAAGGCUGAAACUCAAAGGAAUUGACGGA
rnacentral:rRNA from 1 species